ACAGCGGGAGCGGGAGGAAG
rnacentral:miRNA from 1 species